rnacentral:siRNA from 1 species
UCAAGUACUUGGGUCCAUUC